rnacentral:rRNA from 1 species
CAGUAGCCGCGGGAACACGGAGGGAGCUAGCGUUGUUCGGAAUUACUGGGCGUAAAGCGCGCGUUGGCGGUUACUCAAGUCAGAGGUGAAAGCCCGGGGCUCAACCCCGGAACUGCCUUUGAAACUAGGUGACUAGAAUCUUGGAGAGGUCAGUGGAAUUCCGAGUGUAGAGGUGAAAUUCGUAGAUAUUCGGAAGAACACCAGUGGCGAAGGCGACUGACUGGACAAGUAUUGACGCUGAGGUGCGAAAGCGUGGGGAGCAAACAGGAUUAGAUACCCGCGUAGUCCCUGUCUCUUAUAC